ACAUUUAGCAUACAUUCUACACACGCGUAUCAAAUACAUAGAUUGUGACUGCUUAAUUUAGACUAAGACACUAAAUAGGAGAAUCUAAGAAUGAGAAAACAGUCAGUUCUGGAGCACGAGCCACGGUAGCAGGAUGAUGCACAAGGACCAGGAUAAGCCCAUCGAUCCACUCUUCAAGUUGGUAUAACUGUCCACGAUGUGAAUCUUCCAGCCCAUAUUGCCAUGGAGCCGGUUCCCCUUCUACACACUCGGUGAUGAGGGAUCGAUUGAACUUCUUGAAAGUGGGGAAGUUAUCAUCCAGUCGACGAUCACUAUUUUGAGGAUAUCUGGACAGGCACAGGGGACCAGCAGCCGUGGGCUUGGGCCUGCCUCUCCGGGUGAAUUCAACACCGGCUAAUACACGAAUCUCACUCUGCUUUGCAUCAGACAGUCGGUCAUACCCACCCUGGGGAUCAUCGGUGAUAACCAACGGAUGAUAGUGCUCCGGCGAGUGAGGAUUAUUGCCACCCCUAACCUUAAAGGUGUAGGUCAGACCACGCUUUAGGUAAAGCUCUGGAAUCAUGUAGCCGUUGAUGUACCAGGCCAAGCCACUGGACACAUGAUUCGUCAAUCCCUGAUAGCCACGAAGUCCUCCAGAGGGUCCCAAGUAGGCGUUGAAUGAAGAUUGGAGUCUUACGCAUCUGUUAUCCUGGUUCGCUCCCACACUGGAGGAUUAGUCGUCUCCGCUCGUUUUGUAAAUGCAAAGCAAUCAUUAACCGGUUCUGUGGUGUUAAAAUCUAUCACUAUAUCGCUCUUGGGAUAGUAAGUGUGAAAGGCGGGCUCGUUGUUGGAGUCCAAUGGGCCAAAUGCCCAGAUCACGUAGUUGCUGCGGUCUAGGAAGAUCUCCUUAUCGCCAUCAUCGGCUAAAAUGUGAAAGAGCUGCAUCAGUAAGCAAAAGGCAUACCACUUAUGAUAACCAACUCACAUGACUUGAGCGUCCGCCUAAAACUGAUCGUAUUAAUGCCAUCCUUGCGACUAUACGUAUUCAACUGGAAGCUGUCCAAUCCACCAACCACAUCGUCACGGCAAACUCCUUUGUUUUGACCCAAAACCUGAACGCACGGCGCUAACGAAGUGAUAUUGUAGUCCACGGUGUAGCCUCUGAUGUCGUCUAUAUAGGCCACCACGACAUCGGAGCCAAUCAUCUGGCUGGAUACAUCAGAUCCGGAUAUGCCGAAAGACAUAUAAUCGUUGCCGCCCACCUGACCGGAUAGUUGAAACGUGAUCUGCGGCCCGAAAACCUCCCAGGACACCUGCAUAUCCUUGUGUAGUUGCCGGCAAUUGGGCAGCGAGAAUUCGAAUGGUGUAACUUUCACUAGGGAAGGUGGAACAUUAAGUUUAUCGUUGAACAGAACAUGACCAUAGUUCUCGUUGUCAGCCACAUCGUAUACACUGAUCCAAUCGAUGUCAAAGAUAGUCUUAUCUCCUGGCAGUUCCAGUUCUAUGGUCUCCUUGUUGUACUGUCUUAUAGGAUCAAGGCUAAAUGAUUUAUGAUGAAUUGUUUAAAUGGCUUGCUUCCUCGACUCGAUGGCUGUGGCCCGACUCCUGUCCAGAAAAAUGUCCUCUUGCCACGCCCAUCGUAGGUAAAGUCCUUGAUGCGAAUGGUCUUUGAGUCCAAGAUCUCAACACUGCUGCUGCUCACAUUGUGACUGCGCUUGGAGAAGGUUCCGCCCAAUUGGCUCAUCGGUGGAUCGAACUCCUCGGGUAUAUAAACGUCGCCAAAGUUGUUUUGACUGCUCAGAUCGUAAACCGCCAGCCAUUUAAUCUCAGUUAUCUUCUUUCG
ensembl:ncRNA asRNA:CR46038 antisense RNA:CR46038